UAAAAAGCUCGUAGUUGGAUCUGUGUAUCGGACGGUCGGUUCGCCGCUCGCGGCGUUCAACUGACCGGUCCGGACGUCCUGCCGGUGGGCGCGCUCGGCCCUUCGCGGGGCCGGGCCGCCCGUUAACCUUCCCUCCGCGCUGCCUUUAACCGGGUGGUGCGGUGGGCCGGCACGUUUACUUUGAACAAAUUUGAGUGCUCAAAGCAGGCCUCGAGUCGCCUGAAAACUGUGUGCAUGGAAUAAUGGAAUAGGGCCUCUUUUCUAUUUUGUUGGCUUUUCUGAAAUAGAGGUAAUGAUUAAUAGGGACAGACGGGGGCAUUCGUAUUGCGACGUUAGAGGUGAAAUUCUUGGAUCGUCGCAAGACGGACGGAUGCGAAAGCGUUUGCCAAGAAUGUUUUCGCUAAUCAAGAACGAAAGUUAGAGGUUCGAAGGCGAUCAGAUACCGCCCUAGUUCUAACCAUAAACGAUGCCAGCCAGCGAUGCGCCGACGUUCCUCCGAUGACUCGGCGCGCAGCUUCCGGGAAACCAAAGCUUUUGGGUUCCGGGG
rnacentral:rRNA from 9 species